rnacentral:rRNA from 1 species
GACGAACGCUGGCGGCGUGCUUAACACAUGCAAGUCGAACGGAAAGGCCCUGCUUUUGUGGGGUGCUCGAGUGGCGAACGUGUGAGUAACACGUGAGUAACCUGCCCUUGACUUUGGGAUAACUUCAGGAAACUGGGGCUAAUACCGGAUAGGAGCUCCUGCUGCAUGGUGGGGUGUGGAAAGUUUCGGCGGUGGGGUAUGGACUCGCGGCUUAUCAGCUUGUUGGUGGGGUAGUGGCUUACCAAGGCUUUCACGGGUAGCCGGCCUGAGAGGGUGACCGGCAAAAUUGGGACUGGGAUACGGCCCAGCUUCCUACGGGAGGAAGAAGUGGGGAAUAUUGCACAAUGGGCGGAAGCCUGAUGCAGCAACGCCGCGUGCGGGAUGACGGCCUUCGGGUUGUAAACCGCUUUCGCCUGUAACGAAGCGUGAGUGACGGUAAUGGGUAAAGAAGCACCGGCUAACUACGUG